UACAGAGGUCCCAAGCGUUGUUCGGAUUCACUGGGCGUAAAGGGUGCGUAGGCGGUCGGGUAAGUCUGAUGUGAAAUCUCGGAGCUCAACUCCGAAACUGCAUUGGAUACUAUUCGGCUUGAGGUCUGGAGGGGGGACUGGAAUUCUCGGUGUAGCAGUGAAAUGCGUAGAUAUCGAGAGGAACACCGGUGGCGAAGGCGAGUCCCUGGACAGGUCCUGACGUUGAGGCACGAAAGCUAGGGGAGCAAACAGG
rnacentral:rRNA from 1 species